AGCCAGGAUGGUCUCGAUCUCUUGACCUCGUGAUCCACCUGCCUUGGCCUCCCCAAAGUGCUGGGAUUACAGGCGUGAGCCGCUGUGCCUGGCAUGAAAAUUCUUAUGUACUGAAAUGUUGGAUUAUUCCAGUGAAGAGCCAGAUGUAGUCCGUAUGGUUUCUUACGUAUCAGAAUGCAAUUGCAACAAUGAAAAUGGGUUAUUUCUUGAAGUUAUGUAAUCAAAUUAUGCUUGUAUUUUGGUGAAAUAUAUCUGGUGUUUUAUUUUUCUAAGAGAAAGUUGUGCUUUAAUUGAUAUUAAUUGCAAUUUCUUGGCAGAAUUAUAUUUAACUGAGGCGAAAGUGACAGUAGGUUUUAGAGUUUUAGAAGCAUCAAAUGGUAGACUUGGAUGAAAGCAAAAAUUCUUUUCUAUGGAACUGUUAUUUUUAAAAAAGGACAUAAAAUAAUGUAUUUUGAAGGUUUGUUUUGAUACUUUAUAACUCCAGAUUUUUUUUACAUUUGUAAAGAUCAGGCAAAUCACUAUCUAAUAAAUCCAUUUGGUUAAGUUUGGGUUCCAUUGUUGUGGCAGCUUUUCUGACGAAUGUGUAUUGUAUAAUAGAUGAUGAGUUAUGAGUUUGAGCCAAGGGCCAGUGGGGCCAAUUCUGAGCUUGCUUCCUGCUUUCUACUCUGUCAUAGAAAGUAUCAAUAUAAUGUCAGAGGUUCAGAUCUCUGUGUUAAUAUUGCAGAGCUCUGACAUCAAUUUCUCAUUCUGAAGCAAGUUAAUUGUUCUGUAAUAUAAUUGAGGGGGUGUAGGGGGAUUCUAAUUAAGUACAAAAAAUUAUGGAGCCAAACCGCUGGCAUUCAAAUGCUAGUUCCACCACUUACUAGCUGUGUGAUCUUGGGCAAGUUACUUACCUGUAAAAUGGGGAUAAUUAUAGUACUUAUCUCACUUGAUACUUAGCAGAUUAUGUGAAUACAUAGACAUCCUCGAACAGUACCUGGUGCAAAAUAAGUUACUGUGUAACUGUUAGCUUUUAUAAAUAGUAUUGUUAUUCGGCAGAGGGAGUCCCUACAGAGGAGCCAGGAGCUGAUGUUAGGAGCUACAAUAACAUGGCAUUCUGGUUAUAUAAUUAAAUGCAAGUUGUUUGCUUUUGCAAAAGAAAAUGGAAAACAAGGAAGGGAGAGCCAAUAUUUUUAGAACUAUAGAAACGAGAGUAACAAAUCUUAUAACAGGGAGUAACCUCUGGUUUUGCGAUCAGCUGUUUUUCAUUUAUACCGCAGAUGGGCAGAAAAAGUACUGGUCAAUAAGCAUAGGGGUUUGUAGAGUAAGAUGAUUCUGCACUACAUAUACAAGAAAUUGCUUCUGGUUACUUGCAUGCUUCAAAGGUUUGAUCUAGAAGUUUGCACAUAAAUUGAGAAAUUAGGGUAAGAAUUAAAAAUGUAGUAAAUGAAGAUUGAACAGUACCCACACCACCCUGCAAUAAGAUUUGAUCCUCCCUGUUAUAUUUUGUAGUUUGAUGUCAUGUAAUCUAUUAGAAUUUUAUUAAUUCUGCUUACACAGACAGCCAUCUGGACCUUCUCUAAGCAAGACCAGUCCUAGUAUACAACUGAAAUGAUUGAUGGGCUCUGGAAUUGAUUAGUUGUUCUGUGAGACAAAUGAAGUGUUUUGGCAGAAAAUACAAGAGGUUGCUGCUUGUGGUCAGACACAAAAGCCUGUAGAAUUUCAAAGAGAUGCUUUAAUCAUUGACUUAUAAAGUUUCCAUUUUUAAACAAUAAUGGAUUUUGAAAAUAUUUCCCAAAUAUCUUUUCAUUGGCUGCUGUCUAGUCCUGAUUAUAAAUGGAAGAAUAUAAGUAUAAAAAAUUAGAAUGAAAGUGAUUGUUUUAUGCUUUAAUUUUGUAUUCUUGGUGAAAUAUGAACUAACUUGGAAGUAGCAUAAAAGCCUGUCAUGCAUAAAUUAUACUCUAAAAUUUUCCUGAAAGAGAUAUGAUUGGAGAAAAAGCUGUAACGUGUAUAGUUUUAUUGUAAAUUACUUCUAAAAUCAGAUGUUAUAAAAUUCUAUUUAUUCAUUCAAAGCUUCACAUUGUUACAUUGCAGCCUGUUUUUAACAAAUCUACUUAAAGAUUCUUAAGCUUCAAGAGUAUGUGUUCUACAUAUUUGUGUUUUAAAAAAUGAAUAUUUGGAUUUUUAUGCAUUUAACAGGCCGUCAUUCUGGAACACCACUAUCCUAAUGAUACCACUGCCUUUAGCACCAAAAAGCUUCCCUCCAUCUGUUUGGCUGGUGGUAGUGUAAUACUUCUCUAUUUCACCAUGUUGCCUAUGAUCAACAUUGUGUUAACACCUUGGUGAUAGGUGAUAAAUUGGAUGACAUAUGUCUUGUUAAAUUCUGGUUAUUCUUUGAGGACUACACAAGUGGGUAUAGGCAAGUGGGCAACUCCCCCUGGAGAAUCUGACUGCUCAGAAUGAACUUGAGUUAUGGAUUUAUUCAGCCUGUAAAACCUCAGCUGGCAUAAAUAAUUGAGAAAGCAAAGGUUUGUCUUUGGUGCAUACCUCAGGGACUCAUGGCUCCCUUCCUCCUCUCUACCUCCCUUUCUUAUGAAAAUGAUUCCAGUUGCACUCCUAGAUAAUAACACACCAAGCAAUUAAAAGCCAUGGGUGGCUGGAGAGAGGAGAAAAGGUUUAGUUAAUGAGCUUUUCCUCUUCCAGUGCCCAUGAGAACCUCAGGAAUGACAAGGCGAUUAAAGCGAAGAGAUAAUUAUAGAUUAUGUGAAAAUGGGUCCCCUGGGACAUGUGGGUCUUGACAUAAACAGUAACUGUUGUAAGAGUCUCCUGGCUCUCAUAUUCACCCUUUUCUAGCGUGCUUCAUUUACCUCCUGUGUGCUCAGUGUCAUGAUGCCAACCAAGCAUGUACACAAAUCUAGCCCUUUCUGAACCAAGGGUCAUUCAUCAACUGAAACCAUCACCUUUUCUUCCUCUCUGUUUUCUUCUUUUUUCUUCUCCUCUUCCUUUUUCCAGUUUUGUUCUCUCUUUCCUGUCUACCCCAUCUAAUUUUUCUUUCUCUUCUUCCCAUAUCCUUAUCUGUAUGUGGUACCUAUGAAAUGCUUGUUUACAAAAUUUGGUGUGUGUAUGUAUGUGUGCAUAUAUAAAGAUAUAUAGAGGUUGUGGGUAUACUGUAUCCAUUACAGUAAUGAGAAGCAGAAUAUGCAUUACAAAUAAUAUGAACAGGACCCCUUACCAUCUCAUCUAAUGCCAGUUUUCCGCUCACCCCCUUUUUCACUCUGUUCCAACCACAUUGGCUUAUUUUUUUCCUUGAAGUUCUAAUUAAUAUUUAUUAGAUUAAUUGACACGUAGGGUAUGAGGAAUGACCUCCAGCUUACAAUAUAUGCUGAAUUCUUAAGAUAAGAAUAAUGACAGUUAACAUUUAUUGACCAUUUAUUAUAUGCUAGUAUAGUAACCAUACUAUAUGUAUUACUUCUCUUAAUCUUUAGGAUGACCCUAUUAAAUAUAGAUGCUAUUAAUAUUCUUUUUUUUACAGAUAAGGAAACUGAAAUUCAGAGAAGUUAACUUACUUGCCCAGGGUCACAUAGUUAGUAACGCUGCUGUUAAUUACUGUGCUAUGCUGGCUCUGGAAAUGUUUGAGGAAUCAUAAUCUCUAGUUAAUGAAAUUGAGUCUGAUAGUUGUUACUAUUUAAUAUGAUCAACAACUUCUGGCCAUACAUCCAACAAGUAAAUCAGGAACUUAAAUUCCUACAAAGAAGUAAUAUUCACUAGCAGUAUGACUGAAUUUUGGAAGAUAGUGUGCAGUGCCAGCUUUUAUCCUAGAAAGACUACCUCCAAAGGAACUUCACAGAGUGGCAUUUUUGGUGAAUUACCAUUGAUCAGAGUCCAUUUUUCAACCUCAAAGAUGUAGAAAAAAGAUCCGUAGAUCAAGCAGACCCUUAGAAACAGAGUAGGAAUAAUAAAAUUGGCCCAAAACUGAGGUGUAAACUAAAAUGCUUGUUUGCUUACCAAAGGGACUAUGUCUUUGUAGUGAUUGAAGUGCUGGGUCCCUCCUUUCUGAGAAUUGAGGAGUCCAGAAAAACAGAUUAAUAGUUAAAUGAUUAUUUGUGAACAUAAAAAUAGAGCCAGGGAAAGUGUAUCAUUUUGAGGAUUGCCUUAGCCAUGGUCCUAAUGAGACCUCAUGAAUGAACUGUCUUUCUCCAGAGAAAUCACUCAGAAUGCUUUUUUGCCUCCGUCUUUUGGUUAUACUUCCUGAAGUAUACUAACUAUAGUAAGGAGAGAGGUGUAAUGCCUCUCCUUUACAAACGAGGAGAAGAGUGUUUGAGCAGAGGGAAUGUGGAAAAGGAGAAUGGUAAUGAAAUAUUUGCCACAGGAACCCUUUCAGGUAGAUCAGUUUAGUAAAGAAUACAUUUAUCUAGAAGAUGAAGAGCUGGAAAUUGAGUCACUUAAAAUGAUCUAUACCUGCAUAUCUCUUUAAAGGAGUUUAUGUACCCUAGAGCCCACAAAUUCCUUAGUUUGAGGAAUUAUGGCAUUUGUUUUUAUCUUUGUAGAUAUUGGCUUACUUUCUUUGGAUUUUCAUUCAUGCAAUAAAUACUUAUUCAUUGUCUAUUUACUAGAAUACUGUGUUUUAUAUCUGAUUUCCAGUUGCUUAGUAAAUACAUGAAUUGAAUUGAAUAUUUGUUGAAUGUGCCUAUUAAAUAGAUUUCCAAGCUAGUUCCUUCCAUAAUUUUUGUAGUUAAAUGGACUUUAUAUGUCUUGCCAUGAGACCUAUUUGAAAUAUUAUUUUGAUAAGAAAAUGCUAUCUGAGUAGAAAAUGGUACAGAUAACAUAUUUAGGAAUGGGCAAGGAUCUUCCUGUGAUUGGGUGAAAAAGCCGUACUUAAACACUCUCCCUCUUUCCCAUAGAGUGUGCUCUGAUAUUUCAAAAGAAUGUCAAAACCAGUGAUUAUUCCUUCAGGAAUAUAAAUGUAUUUGCUGUCAAUUUCAGAAAAGUUGUAGUAACCUGAAGAAGAGACUUUCUGUUUUGUGCUAGAGAUAACAUGGGACAUCCUUUAGGGUAGCAUCAUAAACAUAACUCACAGUCAUCUAUAGAUAAUGAAUAUGAUAAUUUUGAGAUUCACAAAGAGAGGGAACAAGAUACCUGAGUAAAAAAUCAAGAAAGGAAAAUAAAGAUAUGGAGAGACACAUUUAUUUAUUUAAGGCUCUACUGUGUUUCAUAAUGGUUGGAUUCAUUUGCAUGUUAUUUUGUUUCAAAUAAGCAUGGAUAUAGUGGGCAAGAUUGACUAUGGAAGGCUGUAUUGAGCUCUUAGAAAAUGGUAGAGGGAGAAAGUUUGAUUUAUACAUUGUACAUAAUUUUAGGGGGCAAGAAAGGAAAUAUGGAAUGAUAUUGCUGUAGAUGUUUCUUCAUUUUGGCCACUAGAUGGUGACAUUGUAUAAAAACAGCUUGGUUGUAGAAGGUAAGAUACUCAAAAUUUGGUGUGGGAUUGGAUAGCUGUAUUUAACAAGUAAGCCCAAGAGUGUCACUUAAUUUUUUUAUAUUCGUCAUUCAGCCUUGUAGCAUUUUUGGCGAAUUUAUUGAACUUCUCUUUUUGGUAUUUAAUUUAUAUGUGUAUACUAUCCUGAAGUAUUUUGUUAAUAUCUCUGUGCCUAGCAUAUUUGGUGAUGAUAAACUAUAUACGAUAAACAAAUACUUAAACAAAUGCUACCUGCCCUCCAAAAAAUUCACAUAGCAAAAAAAACUAGUUGAUAUAUUUGAUGUGUCUAAGAAACAUAUUUAAGAUACAUUAAACAAAAUAGAAAUUUAUAUGUGUUUGUACUGUGUUUACUUUUUUACUGCUUACAACGGUAUACAUGCACAUUUGGAAGUUGGACUCAGGAAGAGGGGCCACUCCAAAGGUCCUCUCAUCUGUGAAUAACGCUUACAUAUACUGGGUAUGCGUAACCCACAUGCCAAGGAUCCUUCUGCUUUCCUUUCUGUGCCCUACCACCAACUUCCCAUUAUUUUCCAAUUCAGAAACAAUUGGCGAGUAGCACUGUAGUAUUGCUAUGACUUUAAAAGACACAGUUCUUUCUGUAACAGUUGAAGUUGGUGCCUCUUGAAUUAGUGGGUUUUCUGUUACUGGAUUGGAAGAAAGUAGGUCCCUAUUAUCCUUAAGUUGGAACUCUGAAGGUAUUCUUUCAUAGACAUGGUGUUUUUUUUUUUGCGUGUGUUUGUUUGUUUGUUUGAGACUUAGUCU
rnacentral:lncRNA from 1 species